rnacentral:misc_RNA from 1 species
UCCGAGUUGACCCCGGCAGUCUCCCACGAGUCCCCGGCAUAACCCGCUGGCAACAUGGGAUAAGGGUUGCGCUCGUUGCGGGACUUAACCCAACAUCUCACGACACGAGCUGACGACAGCCAUGCACCACCUAUCGCAGGCCCUUUCGGACACCACAUCUCUGUGGCUUUUCCUGCGUAGUUCAACCCAGGUAAGGUGGGGAUGACGUUCGGAAUGUCGAUA